rnacentral:rRNA from 1 species
CCGCCUUUGGUUACAAAAACAUGUCCUCUUGAUAAUGUUUUGAGGUCUGGCCUGCUCACUGAAAUUUUUAAAGAGCCGCGGUAUUUUGACCGUGCAAAGGUAGCAUAAUCAUUAGUCUCUUAAUUAGAGGCUGGAAUGAAUGGUUUGACGAGAAAUUAACUGUCUCUUAAUAAAUUUUAAAAUUUAACUUUUGAGUUAAAAGGCUUAAAUUUUUCUUUAGGACGAGAAGACCCUAUAGAGAUUAACAUCUAAAUUAAGUAUUUUUUUAAGAUGGUUUUUUUAUAUUUAAUGGUAAUUGGUUUUGUUGGGGUGACAUGAAGAAUUAAUAAACUCUUUAUUAUAAAAUCAUUGAUUUAUGUUUAUUUUGAUCCAUAAUUUAUGAUCAUAAGAUCAAGUUACCUUAGGGAUAACAGCGUAAUUGUUUUUUAGAGCUCAUAUUGACAAAGCAGAUUGCGACCUCGAUGUUGGAUUAAGAAAAAUUUUGGGUGCAGUAGCUCAAUGAUUAGGUCUGUUCGGCCUUUAAA